rfam:Oryza rufipogon genomic scaffold, chr11
AAUAAGUGUAGUUUUGCACUAUUCACGUAUUCACGUAACGUUUGACCGUUCGUCUUAUUUGAAAAUUUUUUAUGAUUAGUAUUUUUAUUGCUAUUAGAUGAUAAAACAUGAAUAGUACUUUAUGUGUAACUAAAUAUUUUCAAAUUUUUCAUAAAUUUUUCAAAUAAGAAGGACGGUCAAACGUUAGGCACGGAUGGAGGUAGUAGUAAUU